AACAUCUGGACAGUAAUGACAUUGAAAUAGUCAGAGUGAAAUCGGAACAGAUGAAAAUGGAACAAGAUGCUACUCAUAGUGAAGAACAUUGUGAUGGAGAAACAUACACAUUAGCUUGCCAUGAUGGAAGGACAUAUUACAACAAAAUGGAUGACUGUUUUGAUGUCAAGGAGGAGUGUCUUGAACCAGGCCAUCACAGCACCUCGAACAGUAGUUGCAAUUUGAAUAAAAAACCUGGCCAAUCAACUA